rnacentral:rRNA from 1 species
UAGCGAAAUUCCUUGUCGGGUAAGUUCCGACCCGCACGAAAGGCGUAAUGAUUUGAGCGCUGUCUCGGCAAUACAUCCGGUGAAAUUGAAGUGCCAGUGAAGAUGCUGGCUACCCGCGCCAGGACGGAAAGACCCCAUGGAGCUUUACUCCAGUUUGGCACUGGGGUCCGGUGUUGCAUGUACAGGAUAGGUGGGAGGCUGAGAAACGGUAACGUCAGUUGCCGCGGAGCCGCUGUUGGGAUACCACCCUUGUGAUAUUGGGCUUCUAACCAGCCGCCGUGAUCCGGCGGUGGGACAAUGCCAGGCGGGGAGUUUGACUGGGGCGGUCGCCUCCGAAAGGGUAUCGGAGGCGCCCAAAGGUUCCCUCAGAAUGGACGGAAACCAUUCGAAGAGUGCAAAGGCAGAAGGGAGCUUGACUGCGACACCGACGGGUGGAGCAGGUACGAAAGUAGGGCUUAGUGAUCCGGUGGUAUUAAGUGGGAAUGCCAUCGCUCAACGGAUAAAAGCUACCCUGGGGAUAACAGGCUUAUCACUCCCAAGAGUUCACAUCGACGGAGUGGUUUGGCACCUCGAUGUCGGCUCAUCGCAUCCUGGGGCUGUAGUAGGUCCCAAGGGUUGGGCUGUUCGCCCAUUAAAGCGGUACGCGAGCUGGGUUCAGAACGUCGUGAGACAGUUCGGUCCCUAUCCGGCGUGGGCGCAGGAUAUCUGAGAGGAGCUGUCCUUAGUACGAGAGGACCGGGAUGGACGGACCGCUGGUGGACCGGUUGGCUUGCCAAAGCCAUGGCCGGGUAGCCAAGUCCGGAAGGGAUAAACGCUGAAGGCAUCUAAGCGUGAAGCCCCCCUCAAGAUGAGAUAUCCCAUUCUUAUGAAGUAAACCCCCUUGAAGACGACGAGGUAGAUAGGGCAGAGGUGGAAGUGUGGUAACACAUGGAGCUGACUGUUACUAAUCGGGUGAGGGCUUGACCAA